rnacentral:rRNA from 1 species
UCGAGAGGCUUCGGCAAUGGGGGAAACCCUGACCGAGCGACGCCGCGUGGGUGAUGAAGAUUCUCGGAUCGUAAAACCCUGUCAGGUGGGAUGAAAAACCAUUCGGUUAAUACCCGAGUGGCUUGACAGUACCACCAGAGGAAGCUCCGGCCAACUCCGUGCCAGCAGCCGCGGUAACACGGGGGGAGCAAGCGUUGUUCGGAUUCAUUGGGCGUAAAGAGCUCGUAGGCCGCUCUGUAAGUCGGAAGUGAAAGACCACGGCUCAACCGUGGAAACGCUUUCGAAACUGUCAAGCUUGAGUCCGGGAGGGGAGAGCGGAAUUCCUAGUGUAGCGGUGAAAUGCGCAGAUAUUAGGAAGAACACCGGUGGCGAAGGCGGCUCUCUGGAACGGUACUGACGCUGAGACGCGAAAGCGUGGGGAGCGAACAGGAUUAGAUACCCUUGUAGUCCCUGAGCGGGCUGGCAAGGCGCAU